rnacentral:rRNA from 1 species
CCUACGGGAGGCAGCAGUGAGGAAUAUUGGUCAAUGGCCGAGAGGCUGAACCAGCCAAGUCGCGUGAGGGAAGACGGCCCUACGGGUUGUAAACCUCUUUUGUCGGGGAGCAAAGCGAGUCACGUGUGACUCAUUGAGAGUACCCGAAGAAAAAGCAUCGGCUAACUCCGUGCCAGCAGCCGCGGUAAUACGGAGGAUGCGAGCGUUAUCCGGAUUUAUUGGGUUUAAAGGGUGCGUAGGCGGAAUGCCAAGUCAGCGGUAAAAUCGCGGGGCUCAACCUCGCUCCGCCGUUGAAACUGGCGUUCUUGAGUGGGCGAGAAGUAUGCGGAAUGCGUGGUGUAGCGGUGAAAUGCAUAGAUAUCACGCAGAACUCCGAUUGCGAAGGCAGCAUACCGGCGCCCAACUGACGCUGAAGCACGAAAGCGUGGGUAUCGAACAGGAUUAGAUACCCCUGUAGUC